rnacentral:rRNA from 1 species
AUUGAACGCUGGCGGCAUGCUUUACACAUGCAAGUCGAACGGCAGCGCGGGCUUCGGCCUGGCGGCGAGUGGCGAACGGGUGAGUAAUACAUCGGAACGUGCCCAGUAGUGGGGGAUAGCUCGGCGAAAGCCGGAUUAAUACCGCAUACGACCUGAGGGUGAAAGCGGGGGAUCUUCGGACCUCGCGCUAUUGGAGCGGCCGAUGGCAGAUUAGCUAGUUGGUGGGGUAAAGGCCUACCAAGGCGACGAUCUGUAGCUGGUCUGAGAGGACGACCAGCCACACUGGGACUGAGACACGGCCCAGACUCCUACGGGAGGCAGCAGUGGGGAAUUUUGGACAAUGGGCGAAACCUGAUCCAGCAAUGCCGCGUGUGUGAUGAAGCCUUCGGGUUGUAAAGCACUUUUGGCGGGAACGAAAGGGACUGUGCCAAUACC